AUUGAACGCUGGCGGCAGGCCUAACACAUGCAAGUCGGGCGAGCGGCGCACGGGUGAGUAAUGUAGGGAGAUUUGGCUAUAGGUGGGGGAUAACUACUGUAAACGGUAGAUAUUACGGCAUACAUUCACGUGAACCCAAAUGGGAUUUGCUGGUAGGUUAGGGAACGGCUUACCUAUGCGAAGAUGCCUAGCUGGUCUGAGAGGAUGAACAGCCAGACGGGGACUGAGCCACGGCCCAGACUCCUACGGGAGGCAGCAGUGGGGAAUAUUGCACAAUGGGCGCAAUCCUGAUGCAGCCAUGCCGCGUGUAGUAAGAAGGCCGUCGGGUUGUAAAGUACUUUCAGUCGGGAGGCGUUAACGACAGAAGAAGCACCGGCUAACUCCGUGCCAGCAGCCGCGGUAAUAC
rnacentral:rRNA from 1 species